rnacentral:tRNA from 1 species
AAAUUAUUAGAAAAGUUUUGAAAACUUUUUAAGAAGUUUGGCUUCAUAAUUUA